rnacentral:rRNA from 1 species
ACUCCUACGGGAGGCAGCAGUGGGGAAUCUUGCGCAAUGGGCGAAAGCCUGACGCAGCGACGCCGCGUGGGGGAUGACGGGUUUCGGCUUGUAAACCCCUGUUGCCCGGGACGAACUUCUCGAUUCGUCGAGAUUGACGGUACCGGGUGAGGAAGCACCGGCUAACUCUGUGCCAGCAGCCGCGGUAAUACAGAGGGUGCGAGCGUUGUCCGGAAUCACUGGGCGUAAAGGGCGCGUAGGUGGCGCUCCAAGUCUGUGGUGAAAGCUCGCUGCUUAACAUCGAGUCGGCCACGGAGACUGGAGGGCUGGAGCACUGUAGGGGCAGAUGGAAUUCCGGGUGUAGCGGUGGAAUGCGUAGAGAUCCGGAAGAACACCGGUGGCGAAGGCGGUCUGCUGGGCAGUUGCUGACACUGAGGCGCGACAGCGUGGGGAGCAAACAGGAUUAGAUACCCUGGUAGUCCACGCCGUAAACGAUGGGCACUAGAUGCUUGGGGGAGCGACCCCCUGAGUGUCGUCGCUAACGCAGUAAGUGCCCCGCCUGGGGAGUACGGCCGCAAGGCUGAAACUCAAAGGAAUUGACGG